UACAGAGGGUGCAAGCGUUAAUCGGAUUUACUGGGCGUAAAGCGCGCGUAGGCGGCUAAUUAAGUCAAAUGUGAAAUCCCCGAGCUUAACUUGGGAAUUGCAUUCGAUACUGGUUAGCUAGAGUGUGGGAGAGGAUGGUAGAAUUCCAGGUGUAGCGGUGAAAUGCGUAGAGAUCUGGAGGAAUACCGAUGGCGAAGGCAGCCAUUUGGCCUAACACUGACGCUGAGGUGCGAAAGCAUGGGGAGCAAACAGGAUUAGAAACCCUGGUAGUCC
rnacentral:rRNA from 1 species